rnacentral:rRNA from 1 species
GACGAACGCUGGCGGCGUGCUUAACACAUGCAAGUCGAACGGAAAGACCCUGCUUUUGUGGGGUGCUCGAGUGGCGAACGGGUGAGUAACACGUGAGUAACCUGCCCUUGACUGUGGGAUAACUUCAGGAAACUGGGGCUAAUACCGGAUAGGAGCUCCUGCUGCAGGGUGGGGGUUGGAAAGUUUCGGCGGAUGGGGAUGGACUCGCGGCUUAUCAGCUUGUUGGUGGGGUAGUGGCUUACCAAGGGUUUGACGGGUAGCCGGCCUGAGAGGUUGACCGGCGACAUUGGGACUGAGAUACGGACCAGACUCCUACGGGAGGCAGCAGUGGGGAAUAUUGCACAAUGGGCGGAAGCCUGAUGAGGCAACGCCGCGUGCGGGAUGCCGGCCUUCGGGUUGUAAACCGCUUUCGCCUGUGACGAAGCGUGAGUGACGGUAAUGGGUAAAGAAGCACCGGCUAACUACGUG